AGCCCUCUACCACCGUUACCCACCCUCACCUUGUUACCCCUCACCAAUCAUCAACACAAAAAAGAAAGGGAAAGAAAGAAACGGUGAGGGCUUGAGGGAAGAGAGGGAGAAUCAGAGCUGUGGGAGAAGAGAGAAGCAGAGCAAGACAGCACCGGUGCCGUGGGUCUCGCCACGACCGUUGACACUGCUGUAGACUGCGAAGCCGCCGCCGCUUCCACUAACGAAGAGGAGAGAAGGGGACGCCGUUGAGCAAACUGUGCGAGAGAGGGAGCUGCCUUCCACGCGUCGCCAUCAUCGAGUCCGAGGCAGAGAGGAGGAGCGCGAGCGGGAGGAAGAAGCCGUUGCCAUCACCGUUGGUGCUCCGUCGUCGCUACCGUUCGUGAACUAGACGCCGUCGCCAUCAGAAGCUCUUGUCGCCACCGAGAAUCCCAUCACUGUCAGAUCCAUCACUGUCAAACGCAGCUGCAAAUCCUUCUGUUGACCCUAUUUUGCAAACCAAAGACUCUGUUCUUGACAAGCUUUAAGAGAUUAAUGUUAAAGCCUCUAUACUUCUUCUCAAGGAUGCAGCUCCUCACUUGCACAAAGGCUCAUCUGUGGUUAUUAUUUCCUCCAUCACCGGCUUCAAUCCUCCUGCUUCUAUGUCUAUGUAUGGAGUGACCAAAACAGCCCUUUUUGAACUUACCAAAGCCUUGGCUGCUGAGAUGGCCCCAAACACUCGUGUAAACUGUAUUGCUCCCGGUUUUGUGCCAACUAAUUUUGCCUCGUUUAUUACCAGUAAUCAAUCAAUUUU